rnacentral:lncRNA from 1 species
ACUGGUAGUUCUCGCUUAGUUUUUUGAAAUAUGAAAUAUCAGAAAAAUUGAAAAUAUGAACAUUAAUUGUAAUAAAUAAAUGCUACACAUUUAUAAAAAAGCAUUUCAAAUCAUAUGUGUAGCUAUACAAUACUGUACUAUUGCAUAUGUAGCAAUUUGGGUAUGUAUUGGGUGGGUUAGCAAUUUUAAUUUCAUUAUAAACUUUUCAAAAUCUGUCAUCUGCUACAAAAUUGGAAAAAUCGAAAUGGUGGUUGAAAAGCAGCAGCAGCACGUCCUUUUUUUACUGGCAUAUUAUGUAAUUAAUUUUCUAUUCUUGAUUUCUUUCUAUGGCAGUAAUUCAUUUGUAGAAAAGAUCAUCUACUUAUCUAUUUAAUAAUAAUAAUUAAAAAUUUUUUAACAUUUAUAUGACACAAAUAAUUUCUUUAUUAAUAUAAUUUACUUGAUUUUAAAUG